UCCCCUUCUCUUACGUUGCCUCCUCCCAAUCCUUCCCCCCUUACUCGCACGGAGGUGGCUGCAGGAGAGGCGUGGCAAAGGAGGCUCGUGCAGGGGGUGGUGGUGGUGGGAGUGGGGAGUAAGAAAGAGCAUGGAGGCGGCGGCGGCGGCUAGGAAGAGCGUGUGCGUGACCGGCGCAGGAGGCUUCAUCGCCUCGUGGCUCAUCAAGCUCCUCCUCUCCAAGGGCCACUAAAUGGUCCGCGGCACCAUGCGAGAUCCCGGUAAGGACCCUCCUCGCUUCGAUCCGUCCAUCCCAGCCCCCGAAGAUCCAGCCUCAGCUCAUGCUCGCGCUGCUCCCGCCCAACGACGCCGUCUGCGUCGAACUGAAAGCCUGCGGAGGACGGGGACGAGGUCGGGGUGGAGAUGUGGAUCGUUUUCUUUGGAUCCCCAACUGAAGAGUUUGAAGUUGUUUCUGCAGACAACCUAGAUGUCAAUGAAUGUGCGCAGAGUCCAGCCCCCUGCCAUGGCUCUGCAACUUGCCACAACACAGUUGGAGGGUUCCAUUGUUCAUGCCCUUUUGUCACCAGUUUUGCUAAGGAAACAAACUCCUGCGCCAAUCAGUUUACAAGUCAGGAGUUGAGCAGGGCACAAUCUGUGGCAGGACCGCACUCUCCUACUCAUUUGUCUCAAAGCAAAAGAAGCUUGCUGCCUUUGCCUGGAGAGAGUAGAAGUUUCUUUUAUCUAAUCCAAGAUGAUCUAUUCAUGAUUAAAACAGCGAGGAAAUCAGAAGUUGAGUUCUACUAAUUGAAGCCGGUGAGUUGGUGUAUGCUUGAAGUGAGUCUGGUUCUUGCUUCAAUUUCCCCUGUUUCACCUCCAGAUCUACUCAUUGGGAGAUGGAUUCCUUGCAGUGAGAGGCUGGUCUGACGCUGUUGUUGAUAAUCAUCCAUUCCUAUUCUGGACGUGGACGAAGUACACACAUGUACACGCAGCUCUUUUUGAUCCGUUGCAUAUCAAAGCUUCAUUCAGACGAUGGACUGUCUUGCUCUACUUCGAAAUCGAAACAGGUGAGUCGUGUCCUUUUUAGGAUUUAACCAACUGAAGUGAAACCAAGAUACAGUUGCUGCACCACUUAUGAGCAAAUUGUACAGGGGAAAGACAGGCAGCUGCUGCAGAACAAGGGAAGGAGUAUCAGCUAUCUGUUGUUUCAGUUAUUUAUGUGUGCUGAAGAUUGUUCAUACCCGUACCCUGAAGAAAGAAGGCAAAAUAAUCCAUAACUAUUUCUUGAUAAUAAAACACAAGAUAGAUUGUAGAUAUACCUGGAAUAUGUUCAUCCGGGUUCAGUUAAUAAGUGCAUUAGUCAACAUUGUGGUGCAAUGACAGAAUCUGCUGUCCACAACUUCACCUGCCAUAUCCUUAAGGGUCUUGCUUUCCUACAGAGCCAAAAAAUUAUGCAUAGAUUUGGAAAUAGGUUUAAAGGAAAGAUUUAGAAGGUGAAGGAGCUGAUAAAGAGCAUGCUAAAUUCUCACUGUCUUAAUCAUUUUUGGUGUACAAUGCAAUUCAUGUAUAGGUUUGGUGCUUUGUGCUGACAAGAAUUCUCUGAUUGGCAUCAUUUGCAGUAACUGUGGUGAUCCAGGACGCUUUCAAGAUUACAAGUUCAGUAGUGGCAACUUGAACUUAUGUAAGAAUAAACAGAAUGAUUUUUCAUCUUGAAGAGUUUCCUAACUGUUGACUUUAAGCCUUCAAAGUUACUCCUUUCGUAAACUAAUAUAAGAGCGUUUAGAUCACUAAAGUAGUGAUCUAAAUACUCUUAUAUUAGUUUACAGAGGGAGUACAUCGUGGGAUUAUGAAUAAGAUGGUGCUAAUUAUAUUUUGAGUGAAUUUCUGGUGUGUAUUAUUCAGAAUUUCAGACUGGCCCUUGAACUAAAUAAAGAGAAGUCAAAUUUUGUUUC